ACACUCCUCUGAAGCCAUCACAACUUUUAUGUUAGCUUCAGAUGGCACUUCCGGCUUACCUCUCAGCAUCUACAGUAACAACAACCAAUUCGGUGUCAUGAUGUGUGGCACGUCUGCCGGUCUGGAUUGUUGUUAAGGGGAUUUCAUAGCAGUCCUAGCAGAAAUUGAUAAACACCUUUUGAUGAGCGUGCACAGAAGGGGCACAACCAGGAGGAGCACCAGUCCAGGAGCACUAGGAAGAUGGAAAAACACAAAUACCAAAGACGAGCACACACUCCAUCAGAGACUCCUCACCUUUAUUUUCACCAUGUGGUUCAUCAUUGUUGUGGGCUCCGCCUCUGCAGACUCACAGGUCAUAUCAGCACGAGUAGGAGACACAGUCGUCCUGCCAUGUAACGUGAGUGAGGUGUCCACCCAAUCACGUGUCUACUGGAAAACUGAUUCUCAGAUCGUGUUUGAGAGAUGAGGUGCGCUCUCGUUCCCGGGUCCGGGAUAUGAGGGCCGUGUGGACGUUCCUGAGGAAGAACUGCGUAAAGGAAGCUGUUCCCUGGUUCUGAAGAACGUCAGUGUUACGGAUGCCACUGUCUAUAGGAGCUACAUUAAAUCAGGAGGCACACAUGUGCACACAUCUGCAACCUCAACCUGGCAUUUUAUCCAGAGUGUUACGCUUUUCGUUCAGGAACCACCAGAAGUGCCAGAUGUCAGAGAUGAUGCCCAGCUGGACUGGUCUACCACACUGAUAUUUUUGUCCAUACUUUUAUGUAUUUUACACCAUCUUACUUUUACAAAUCUUUGUGGCGAUUGUAUAUAGGACCAAUCUGCUCUUGGUUCAUACAACUGUCAAAAUACAAUUCCAAAAUGAAAGUUUUCAAAAGGGCUUCAAAUAAUCAGGACUGUCAUUAGAUUACACAAACUUUACCCAGUGUCUUUUUACCUGCUCAAAGAAGGUAAACUAUGAGCAUGUCAGGUUGGAAA